AUUGAACGCUGGCGGCAUGCCUUACACAUGCAAGUCGAACGGCAGCACGGGUGCUUGCACCUGGUGGCGAGUGGCGAACGGGUGAGUAAUACAUCGGAACGUACCUUAUCGUGGGGGAUAACGCAGCGAAAGUUGCGCUAAUACCGCAUACGCCCUGAGGGGGAAAGCGGGGGACCGUAAGGCCUCGCGCGAUUAGAGCGGCCGAUGUCAGAUUAGCUUGUUGGUGAGGUAAAAGCUCACCAAGGCGAUGAUCAGUAGCUGGUCUGAGAGGACGGUCAGCCACACGGGGACGGAGACCCGGCCCAGACUCCGACGGGAGGGAGCAGUGGGAAAUUUUGGACAAGGGGGGCACCCUUGAUCCAGAAAUGCCGGGGGAGGAAAGAAGGCCUUCGGGUUGUAAAGCUCUUUGUACGGGGAAAAAACAGCAGCUCAAACACGGUCUGCGAAUGACGGUACCUGAAGAAUAAGCACCGGCUAACUACGUGCCAGCCGCCGCCGUAA
rnacentral:rRNA from 1 species